rnacentral:rRNA from 1 species
CGGGUGAGUAAUGCGUGACCAACCUGCCCCCAUGCUCCAGAAUAGCUCUUGGAAACGGGUGGUAAUGCUGGAUGCUCCAACUUGACGCAUGUCUUGUUGGGAAAGUGUUUAGUGGCAUGGGAUGGGGUCGCGUCCUAUCAGCUUGUAGGCGGGGUAAUGGCCCACCUAGGCUUCGACGGGUAGCCGGCCUGAGAGGGCGGACGGCCACAUUGGGACUGAGAUACGGCCCAGACUCCUACGGGAGGCAGCAGGC